UACGUAGGGUGCGAGCGUUAAUCGGAAUUACUGGGCGUAAAGCGUGCGCAGGCGGUUCGCUGAGUCCUGUGUGAAAGCCCCGGGCUUAACCUGGGAAUGGCAUGGGAAACUGGCGGGCUGGAGUGUGGCAGAGGGGGGUGGAAUUCCGCGUGUAGCAGUGAAAUGCGUGGAGAUGCGGAGGAACACCGAUGGCGAAGGCAGCCCCCUGGGCUAACACUGACGCUCAGGCACGAAAGCGUGGGGAGCAAACAGG
rnacentral:rRNA from 1 species